rnacentral:rRNA from 1 species
AAAAACAUGUCCUUUUGUUUAUGAUUUAAGGUCUGACCUGCCCAAUGAUUAUUUAAAUGGCCGCAGUAUUUUGACUGUGCAAAGGUAGCAUAAUCAUUAGUUUUUUAAAUGGAAGCUGGUAUGAAUGGUUUGAUGAGAAAAUGACUGUCUCAACGUAAUUGGUUUUGAAUUUUAAUUUUAAGUUAAAAAGCUUAAAUGCUAUAGAAAGACGAGAAGACCCUAUAGAGUUUUAUUUUUUACUUAAUAUGUUUUUUUUGGGUUUUAAUAUUACUUAUUAUUUAAGGAAUUUUGUUGGGGUGAUAUAAAAAUUGAGUUAACUUUUUAUUUAUUUUUACAUUUAUUUAUGAGUUUUUGAUCCUUUGUUUAAGAUUAAAAGAUUAAAUUACCUUAGGGAUAACAGCGUAAUUUUUUUGGAGAGUUCUUAUCGAUAAGAAAGUUUGCGACCUCGAUGU